UACGAAGGGUGCAAGCGUUAAUCGGAAUUACUGGGCGUAAAGCGCGCGUAGGUGGCUUGAUAAGUUGGAUGUGAAAUCCCCGGGCUCAACCUGGGAACUGCAUCCAAAACUGUCUGGCUAGAGUGUGGUAGAGGGUAGUGGAAUUUCCAGUGUAGCGGUGAAAUGCGUAGAUAUUGGAAGGAACACCAGUGGCGAAGGCGACUACCUGGACUAACACUGACACUGAGGUGCGAAAGCGUGGGGAGCGAACAGG
rnacentral:rRNA from 1 species